AGCUUGCUGCGGGUACUCGAGUGGCGAACGGGUGAGUAACACGUGGGUGAUCUGCCUUGCACUUCGGGAUAAGCUUGGGAAACUGGGUCUAAUACCGGAUAGGACAGCUGUUUAGUGUCAGUUGUGGACAGUUUUUUCGGUGCAAGAUGAGCUCGCGGCCUAUCAGCUUGUUGGUGGGGUAAUGGCCUACCAAGGCGUCGACGGGUAGCCGGCCUGAGAGGGUGUACGGCCACAUUGGGACUGAGAUACGGCCCAGACUCCUACGGGAGGCAGCAGUGGGGAAUAUUGCACAAUGGGCGGAAGCCUGAUGCAGCGACGCCGCGUGGGGGAUGAAGGCCUUCGGGUUGUAAACUCCUUUCGACAGGGACGAAGCGUAAGUGACGGUACCUGUAUAAGAAGCACCGGCUAACUACGUGCCAGCAGCCGCGGUAAUACGUAGGGUGCGAGCGUUGUCCGGAAUUACUGGGCGUAAAGAGCUCGUAGGUGGUUUGUCGCGUCGUCUGUGAAAUUCCGGGGCUUAACUCCGGGCGUGCAGGCGAUACGGGCUGACUUGAGUGCUGUAGGGGAGACUGGAAUUCCUGGUGUAGCGGUGAAAUGCGCAGAUAUCAGGAGGAACACCGAUGGCGAAGGCAGGUCUCUGGGCAGUAACUGACGCUGAGGAGCGAAAGCAUGGGUAGCGAACAGGAUUAGAUACCCUGGUAGUCCAUGCCGUAAACGGUGGGCGCUAGGUGUAGGGGGCUUCCACGUCUUCUGUGCCGUAGCUAACGCAUUAAACACUCCGCCUGGGGAGUACGCGCGCAAGCGUG
rnacentral:rRNA from 1 species